ACCGCCCGUCACACCAUGAGAGUUUGUAACACCCAAAGCCGGUGGGGUAACCUUUUGGAGCCAGCCGUCUAAGGUGGGACAGAUGAUUAGGGUGAAGUCGUAACAAGGUAAC
rnacentral:rRNA from 1 species